UCAGAAUAUGGUCUAAUUAGAAUGUCGGCUUUGGGGGUCGAAGAUAGAAGUUAAACUCUUCUUGUUCUGAU
rnacentral:tRNA from 1 species